AAUGAACGCUGGCGGCAUGCCUAACACAUGCAAGUCGAACGAGACCUUCGGGUCUAGUGGCGCACGGGUGCGUAACGCGUGGGAAUCUGCCCUUGGGUUCGGAAUAACAGUUAGAAAUGACUGCUAAUACCGAAUGAUGUCGUAAGACCAAAGAUUUAUCGCCCAGGGAUGAGCCCGCGUAGGAUUAGCUAGUUGGUGUGGUAAAAGCGCACCAAGGCGACGAUCCUAGCUGGUCUGAGAGGAUGAUCAGCCACACUGGGACUGAGACACGGCCCAGACUCCUACGGGAGGCAGCAGUGGGGAAUAUUGGACAAUGGGCGAAAGCCUGAUCCAGCAAUGCCGCGUGAGUGAUGAAGGCCUUUAGGGUUGUAAAGCUCUUUCGGCGGGGACGAAAGGUCCGUGUUAACACCACGGAUCCAUGACGGUACCCGCCAGAAGAAGCACCGGCUAACUACGUGCCAGCAGCCGCAGUAA
rnacentral:rRNA from 1 species